rnacentral:rRNA from 1 species
UACGAAGGGGGCUAGCGUUGCUCGGAAUUACUGGGCGUAAAGGGCGCGUAGGCGGAUAGUUUAGUCAGAGGUGAAAGCCCAGGGCUCAACCUUGGAAUUGCCUUUGAUACUGGCUAUCUUGAGUUCGGAAGAGGUAAGUGGAAUGCCGAGUGUAGAGGUGAAAUUCGUAGAUAUUCGGCGGAACACCAGUGGCGAAGGCGAACUU